UAUCAGCCAUCUCUCC
rnacentral:tRNA from 1 species